rnacentral:rRNA from 1 species
UAAUACGUAGGGGGCAAGCGUUGUCCGGAUUUAUUGGGCGUAAAGAGCGUGUAGGCGGUUAGGUAGGUCCGUUGUGAAAACUCGAGGCUCAACCUCGAGACGCCGAUGGAAACCAUCUGACUAGAGUCCGGAAGAGGAGAGUGGAAUUCCUGGUGUAGCGGUGAAAUGCGCAGAUAUCAGGAAGAACACCCGUGGCUAAGGCGGCUCUCUAGUACGUGACUGACGCUGAGACGCGAAAGCGUGGGGAGCGAACAGGAUUAGAUACCCUGGUAGUCCACGCCGUAAACGAUGGGUGCUAGGUGUAGGGGGUGUCGACUCCCUCUGUGCCGAAGCUAACGCAUUAAGCACCCCGCCUGGGGAGUACGGCCGCAAGGCUA